CGACGACCAACAAUACCCAAAUUACUACCCCAAAGACCACCGUCCAAACUAAACCCACUUUGACUACACAUCCGUCACUUGAAGAUGUGAUUCAUUUGGACGGCACAAGCACUCAAACACUAUCAAACCCCCAAUAUGAAACCCUAUUAUCCAACACAAACAAGUAAUACCGAAUACCCAAAAGAGUAAUUUUCUCCCACCAUCACUGAAGGUUUCUUCUAUUUUUGACCCCCCCACCUCGUCACAACCGAACCAAUAAUAGUAUCCAAAAUCCCCAAUCCAAUGUUUAACAAAAUGCAAAUCAGAACACGGGAAACAACAAUCCUUCCUCUAGCUCGAAUAAUAAUUCCAAAAAUCAACCUCGACCACCCAUUCCAGUGUCCAAGCCGUCCUUUGCAGCCAGUGUCUCCGCUUCUCUCGCAAAUAGCUCAAGUGCUAAGCAGCCUGUUGAAAUUACUCAUGGUACUCAUAUGGGCAAACCCGCAGUCUACUUCUCUACACAAGACUUUUUUGUUACUCUGGCUGAAGAUUGCAAGUUCACAAUUGUUGGGAAGUUUACUAGAGGUAAACCUAACAUGGAGGAAGUAAGGAGGUUAUUCAUCAGUCAUAUUCCGCUUAAAGGUGGGACAUUUUAUCAAGAAUGGUUAGUUCAGUUGGUACUGCUAUGGCUCCUGAUAUGGCCACCUACUCUAAAUCUAGAGGUAAUGUGGCCAAAAUUAAAGUUGAAAUUGAUCUCUUGAAACCUAGGAAGGAUCAAAUCUAGCUUGGAUUCAAGAGAUUAGAUAGUAAUGAGGAGGAUGGUUAUUGGCUAGAUAUUGAAUAUGAAGGUGCUCCCUCAUACUGUCAGUAUUGUUGUAUGCAAGGACAUGAUAUACUCUCCUGUAAAAAUAAGAAUAGAGACGAAGAAAUACAAGCCCAAGUCACAGCCAAUAAUGAGGAGAAUACUGAUCAAUGAAAAGUUCAAAAAGGAAACAAGAAAGGUAACCAACACAUGAAUGGGAGUAAUAACUUGAAUGUAUUACCACAACAAUCUCACCAGGAAGUCAUAGAUACACGACACAAAACUCAAUCACAAAAGGAUGACCAACCAACUCAACAGCCGAGAGAUCAUGGUACCUAGAACAAUCAGCAACAGGUUCUGAACAAGAACAAAUCAGUUGAGUAGGCAGCACAACCUCAACAGGUACCAAAGCAAAAGAUUGUAGCUAAGAAAAAAGUACAAUGGCAAGUUAACCAUAGCAAGAAAAUCACCAAUACCUUACACUACAAUAACUCAAAACAACCAACUGCUCAAACAACAGAUUCCAACCAAGUUAGAACCAAAUCAAAACCAGACACACAUCAAAGCAUAAGUCCCCAUCCUCAAGCUACUUAUCAACCUUCCACUAGUAAAACUUCUCAGAUUGUUCCUGAUAACAUAUCCAAGACAAAACUCCAAAUGAUCACUAACAUCCCUUCCAUCUCAAUAGUCCCAAAAUAACAAUAUUUAUCAGCCACAAAACCUAAACUGCCAAAACCAACACAAAUUAUCCCUUCCCAGCAAAUAAUCUCUCAAGUAAUUCAGUCAGGUAAGGCUUAGGCAAACUCCACCCCUCAAGAGCCACCAGACCCUCCCCCUCUUGAAAACUUCCCACCUGAACACAACUCCGAUAAUCAUAAGCCAUCUAAGAAUGCUCUUUCAUAUAGCAGUGAUGAAUUAGAACAGGGUAUGCUAAAUGUCGUUGAUUCUUAAUUUGAUGCUUUAGGAAAAGAAUCAGAAACUGCUGAAUAUAAUCAGGUUGUUAAUGACUCUGAAGAUGACUUUGAAAGUAUUGAACAACAGUGUGAUAGUGAUGAUGCUCAAUCAGUUACCAGUGAUGAUCAUGCAAACAAAUUGUUAGAAAUUUUCUCACAUCACCACCAUCACAAGAAGUUGAUCAAGCCUUUGAGGAAGUGAUUGGCCAACAUCACCUUUCACCUCGGGGACAUAAAAUAAUCAAAGGUAGGUUUACAUCAACAAGAGGUGGUCUCUCAAGCAGAGGUAGCAGAGAAAACAGAAGAGGCAAAGGUAUUCCUGCUGCGAAAUUUUCACAACACAAAGAUGAUUAAUCCACAUCCUUUUAAUGAUUAAGUUUCUUAUUUGAAAUAUUAGAUGCAUCACAUCUCAAGGUGCCUUUGACAGAAUUAAGUAACUUAAAAGAAGUCACAACCUCAUUUUCAUAGCUAUUAUGGAACCUUUCAGUGGAGAACUAAAUUGGAGAAGUUUAAUAGAAAACUUGGGUUUGAUUUUGCAUAUGCAAACUGUAGCAACAAGAUCUGGUUUUUUGGCAA